GGGGGUGGGAGAGUCAGCAUCUUGAAGGGUGGGGAAGAAGGAAUGGAGAGCAUCUCACACGCUCGCCAAAAAUUAAAAAUUAAAAAUUCAGCCUUUACACACGCACACACAUACACACACCUCUUGUCUGACUGUACAGAGAUAGUCGACAAGCUUUCAGGUUUGCCCACUUUUAUUGUGCUAAUAAUGCUAAGUGUGGAAACCCCCACCUCGUGCUGUUCUGUGUAAGUGUACCGCAACUGCAGGGUGCUCGCCUCCACUGCCAACUGAUGAUACACUAAAGAAAGCCCGUUUUUUAUCCAGAUGUAAAAUGAAGCUGCACCCCUCCUAUACCUGCCGGAAACUACAUCUCUCUGCACACACCCUGGGGUAAUACGCACUGCACCCGGCGAGUUACCUGGAAUACGUUUACUAAAUCGACAGGAAGAAGGAAAGAUCAAUGCGAUUCAAGUGCUGACGGUUGUACUCGUGAAGGAAAAAAACAAAUGCAAGCCGGGAAGUCCCCAGUGGUGCCUGCACCUAGGAGGCGACUGCAACGGAUGGAUGCGGGGGUAGAUAAUCAGCAACCCCCCAAGACUGUGCCUGCUGCACAACUACAGAACGCAGUGGAAGACACGCUGAAUUCUGAGUCAGAAGGUUGACUUUCUAGCUGUGGGGACUUGGCCAAACCUCCUCAGAGCUUCAGUUUUCUCAUCUGUAAAAUAGAGAUCUUAAUCCCUACCAAUCUCACAGGACUGCUGAGAGUAUCAGAUGAGAUUCUCAAAGCAAUCCUGUAUGGUGAGAAUUAUUUUUAUUUUACCGACAAAGCUGCUGAAGAUCAGAGACAUUGAGUUACUCAUAGAAGAUAUACAGACAGAGCCAAGAUUCAAAUCCCUUGGGUGUCUGGCUCCAAAGUGGAAAUUUUCUCCACGGUGCCAAAGGACUCAUAAACAGAAUGUACAAAGGACUCUUACAAAUCAGUAAUAAAAGGACAAUCAAUGUUUUUAAACAAGCAGAAGACUUCGAUAAACACCACAUAAAAGAGAAUGCAUGCAUGGCCAAUGAGAACAUAAAAAAGAUGCUCAGCGUUGUUGGUCGUCAGGGAAGUGCAGAUUGAAAAUGCAAUGGGAUACCACUACACACCCGCCAGAAUGGUUAAAAUUUAAAAAUUUUAACAGUACCAAAUGUUAGAGAGGCUGUGAAGCAGCAGGAUGUUUUAUGCAUGGCCAGCAAAAGUAUAAAAUGGUAGAGCCAUUUGGAAAACUGGCAUUUUCUCAUAAAUAUUCACCUAUCAUGUGAUCUAAAAAUUCCAAAAGAAAUGAAACUAUAUGUCUACAAAAAAAGUUGGAUAAGAAUAUUCAUUGUAGCUUUAUUUCUUUUGUUGUUGUUGUUGAAACAGAGUCUCGCUCUGCCGCCCAGGCUGGAGUGCAGUGGAGCCGUCUCAGCUCACUGCAACCUCUGCCUCCCGGGUUCAAGCAAUUCUUGUGCCUCAGCCUCCCAGGUAGCUGGGACUACAGGCACGUGCCACCACACCUGGCUAAUUUUUGUAUUUUUAGUAGAGAUGGGGUUUCGCCAUAUUGGCCAGGCUGCUCUCGAACUCCUGACCUUGUGAUCCGCCUGCCUCGGCCUCCCAAAGUGCUGGGAUUACAGGCAUGAGCCACCGCACCUGGCCAUGGCUUUAUUUCUAAAAGCCAAACUUUGGAAACAAUGCCAAUGUCUAUCAAUAGACUAAAGAGAUAAAUUGAGAUUUUUCAUACUGUGAGAUAUUGCCCCACAAUAAAAAGGAGCAAACUAUUAAUGCAUACAACAACGUAGAUGAAUCUCAACAAUAUUAUGUUAAAUGAGAAGCACCAGACACAAAAGAGUACACACAAUGAACGACUCCACUUAUGUGAAGUCUAGCAACAGGAAAAACUCAUCUAUGGAAAUAGAAAUCAGAAUAGUCAUUGCCUGUGAGAAUGUAGAGGGAGGGUGGGCCACAGGAAAGGAGCAUGGGAAAAUUUUUUGGGUGAUGGCAAUUUUCACAUUUUGAUUAAACAAUUAAGUUUAAUCAAAUUAUACACUUAAGGUCUGUGCAUUUUACCAUAUGUAAUUAUGCUUUGAAUAAAAAUAAAUUAAAAUAAAGGGAUGAAAUGAGUUGCUUCUUCCAGUAUUAUGCUUUGGCACUGGAAGUAUUUAAGCUAGACUAAUGCUUAUCAGAGAUAUUGUGGACGGUUCAAAUUGGGAGUUCUGAUUAAGUAAUAAAAAACAAGCCCUCAGAUUUUAAGACUUCGGUGUGAUACUUGAUAUGUAAUGCUGAACUAAUCAUGUAUUUCGGAAUAGGCAAAACCUGCGUUCAUCUUCUAUUUUGGAGAACUCCACGUAGAUAUGGAAACUUAUGUUACCGAAAACUUUCUUGAAUCUGUUUAUUUUUCUUUUCUGAAAUUCUUCCCCUAUUUACCAUUACCUCUAACUACUUGCCUCCUGAAACGCAAACCUUUAGCCACUCUAUGUUCCUGUAUCUUAGAACAUGUGGUGUUUGCACAUUUCCUUUGUUAAACAUCCUCCCUACUCCCACUUCCCAUCAACUUCUGCCCUUCCUUGAAACUACACAGAAGUCAACUGCACCAGUAAGACUCCCCUAUAAGCCCUGUGGCCCACAGUUUUAGUCUAUUUUUGAGUCUAGAUUACCUGUAGUAUAGCAAUUAUCCCAGGCUAAAUGAUGCCAAGGUCCCUUCCCGCUCAAAGAGUCUGGCUCUUUGAACAGGGGAAUCUGGGCUUGAAGAAUGAAGAGAAACAACCAAGC
rnacentral:lncRNA from 10 species